UAUGCAGCAGGAAAGGAGACCAUUGACAGCUGCGUGAGAUCUAAAGGAGUUUGCAAAGAAGCCUCAAACUCCACCGGUUGUUUGAGUGCGUCUGUCUCACUGGACACAUCCAGAAAGAGUUAAACUGAACGGAAAUUAGUCUGCGUGGCAUUCCAGGUGGGACAACCAGAAACUUACUCCAUUACAGAGCAGAAGUGGUUGCAGUAAUUACGCUGUGGCAUUCGAGGAUUGUAACGAAUCAGAGGCAGCUCUGCACUUCUUAAUCUUCUCUUUUUAAACAAUUCUGGCCUAUGAGGCCAGUGGUGGUGUCAAAAAAUAUGGGGAAAUAGCAGGUAUGGAAUUCAUUCUGCAAAGACAACAAUAAAAACAGAAACUCCCAUUGGUGAGGACCGUUCUCAUGAAUUCUUCGCUGAUAUGGAUAAAUCAUGGAGAAACUCUGCCUUCUACUGGAUGUACUACCACUGGUCAAUGCAGACCUACCAGACUAGCAGAUGGGAACCCCAUUUAAAACAAUAAUAGAUGAUGUGUGUGAGGAUGUUGUACAUUCAAUCUCUGCCCUUGGGAGGCAGAGGCAGGGAGAUCUAUAUGAUGAGUUUCAGGCCAGCCUGGUCUGCAAAAUGAUUCUAGGUGGGCCAAAAGAACAAAGUGAGAAGGAAAUAAUUAAACAGAUAAUAAGUGAAUAAAGAAACAGAAAUGAA